AAUGAACGUUGGCGGCGUGGAUUAGGCAUGCAAGUCGAGGGAGAACCCGCAAGGGGGACACCGGCGAACGGGGUAGGAUCACCUCGGUGACGUACCCUCAGGACGGGGAUAGCGGCGGGAAACUGCCGGUAAUACCCGAUGAUCUGACAGGACUUUAAGGCCUGUCAGCAAAGGUGAGAUUCCGCCUGAGGACCGGCUGAGGCGCUAUUAGCUUGUUGGUGAGGUCACGGCUCACCAAGGCGUACGAUGGCUAGGGGGUGUGAGAGCAUGGCCCCCACCACUGGCACUGAGACACUGGCCAGACACCUACGGGAGGCAG
rnacentral:rRNA from 1 species